rnacentral:rRNA from 1 species
UACGAAGGGUGCAAGCGUUACUCGGAAUUACUGGGCGUAAAGCGUGCGUAGGUGGUUCGUUAAGUCUGUCGUGAAAGCCCCGGGCUCAACCUGGGAAUGGCGAUGGAUACUGGCGGGCUAGAGUGCGGUAGAGGGUGGUGGAAUUCCCGGUGUAGCAGUGAAAUGCGUAGAGAUCGGGAGGAACAUCAGUUGCGGAAGGCGGCCACCUGGACCAGCACUGACACUCGAGGCACGAAAGCGUGGGAGCGAAUGGG